GUUGCAACUUUUUUCGAAAGCUCGGUUUCCCGGGAGAUCCCAGGCGGUGACAGAGCCAGGCCAUGGCGAGAGGCCCUACACCCAAUUGCAUCAUUUGUUCUCCCAGAAGCCCAAUAUGGUCUUUGGAGACAAGACUUCCCCAAAUUCUGGUGAAGAAAUGAGGCAUAGUGAAUUCAGGUUAAAAGAGCUUCAUAACCCAAUUCAUGGAGAAAAAUUAAGACUAAUAUUUUUCCUUAGGAAAGUGUUAAGCUUCUAAAAGUAUAUUUUUAAAAAUGUAUCCAAAAAGUAUAUUUAAUUUACCUAAUCAUUUGACAAGUCUCAAUAAAACUGUGAUUCCCUGGUUCAUUUUUACCAUCAUUGCAAAACUAUCUAAACUACUUGUUUCAAAAGUAGUACAUUAAAAAAAAACUUUAAUUAAUCUGUAGGGGAAAAAACUAACCAUCUCUCAUCAAAAUAUGUAAAAUAUGGUCGAUUAAUAAUUGCCAUUGAGGGCCAGGCAAUUUAUUAUCUCAGUUAAUUUUUACAAAUUGUUAUUCCCACUUUUCAGAGUUAGAAGCUGAAGUCCAAAGUCACUGUCCAGAGUAGCCAUGCCUUCUUGGCUUGUUUGUCCUUGCCUCCCUUGCUCAGCCAAGGUGAAGGUGAAAGUUUUCCACCUUCUAUCGUGGUAGGCUUACAAAUCACCUUUGUAAUUACUGGCUAGUGAGUCUCACUGUCACUUGACCCCCCAGAUUCAUAGUUACCUAUAGUCAUAGUUUCUUUUUUUUUUUUUUUUGAGACAGGAUCUUGCUAUGUGGUUCAGGCUGGCCUUGCCUUGAAUUUGAGGCCCUUCUCCUGCCUCAGUCUCCUGAAUGCUGAGAUUACAGGAGCACUACACCAGGCACUCCAUUUUUCUUGCAGACAGUUAAACUGGAUAUUUAGAAUUGUAAAUACCAAAUUAUUUACAGUAUAUCAAGCAGUUCAUUUUGAGAGGCCCUCUGGGUCCUGCUAACAAACUUUAGACACCAGGCAACUGAAGUUUUAUACUCAUGUAGAUAUUUAUAACCCAAAGUGUAUUAGUUUGAGAAGGCUCAGUCUAUCUACUUUUUCUCAUCUCUUCUGGCAUUAUCAAAUAGUUCCCUUUGAAUUGUUUUCUCUCCCAUUUUUACCAUCUCUAGUUCAUCAUCCCUUCACAGCUUUUGUGAUUCCCCAGGAAUACAGAUUUUUGUCAUGUCAUCCUCACUACUGUCUGUACCCUCAGCCUCCCUGUUACUCCUAGGAUUAAAUCCACAGUUAUCACCAUGGUCUACAAAGCCCUGCUGACUCCCUGGUCUCACUGGGCUCCAUCUGCCUUUAUGUUUACUGCUGUGUCCUUAGCUCAAGGCCUGGAACAGAACAGGGUCUCACUGUGCAGUCAGGGCUGGCCUUGAAC